rnacentral:lncRNA from 1 species
UGGGAAUAGAAUGUCAUGCCCAGGAUUUCCAAACAGAGAGGGCUUUUGCAAUUAUGAGCACAAAGUAGGCAACUCAAUGCAGACUGCAUGUUUCUGCAGUUGAAAUCUCGGCUUUCCUUCUGUCCUGUAUUUCCAUGUGGGACAUGCUGAAAACUAUAUGUCUCCUCUGUUCUAGCACCUUACUAGUUUUUGAUUUUCCCCCUGUAAAAUAAGAUACCAGUUUACAAGACCCUCUACAAAAUUACAAGUCUGCCUUGGCAUUGGAAUGGGAGCAACUCCUUCUGUUAAAGGUAUUUAACAUUCAUCAUUUAUCAUGAGUGUGCAGGGUAGUUAGAAAACCGUGAUAUACAAGGCUGUGAUGUCCCUGGUCUAGAAUUAAGAAACUAAUUGAGCAAAUGUGACCAAGGAGAGCAGCAUGCGUAAGGGGUGCAAUUAAAGAAAUAAUAAGCUAGAGACGUGCUUGAGAAGUAGAACAUGGCCAUCAAAUUGCAAGGGGGUAGAGGGAUUAACAGUAAAUCAAGAUCUUUGGAUCAAGUAAAAUGGGG